rnacentral:rRNA from 1 species
UACGUAGGGGGCUAGCGUUGUCCGGAAUCAUUGGGCGUAAAGCGCGUGUAGGCGGUCCGGUAAGUCCGCUGUGAAAGUCGGGGGCUCAACCCUCGAAUGCCGGUGGAUACUGUCGGGCUAGAGUGCGGAAGAGGCGUGUGGAAUUCCUGGUGUAGCGGUGAAAUGCGCAGAUAUCAGGAGGAACACCAAUUGCGAAGGCAGCCCCCUGGGCUAACACUGACGCUCAUGCACGAAAGCGUGGGGAGCAAACAGG